rnacentral:tRNA from 1 species
GUGGAUAUAGCUCAGUGUUAGAGCACGUGCUUAGCAUGCAUGAGGUCCUGGGUUCAAUUCCCAGUAUCUCCA